GGAAAAGUGUGCGAAGGUGAAGAAGUUCCUGAAAGUGAAGAAACAGUGUGAAUGCACUCAGAAGAGGCUGYGUUACAAAUGCUGACAAAGAACAGUUGCGGAACUGAAAGUCACCGAUAUUCCUUUCCAGUGAACUCUCUUUUGAACAUGUUGAAUGAGAUAAGUUUUGUACCCACGUUCUGUUCUUUAACAGUAAUGAAAAUGUAUUUCUGGUUGUGAAGAUUUAAGUGCUGUAUGGAUGCACUAAUGAUUAAUUCAACUGAUCAAAAAAUAAGCAUUAAUGUCAAUUUUGAAAUGCUGUGGCUUUAAAAACUGUAAAGGGGGAUAAGUGGGAACAGAAAACAAGGGAGUUUAAAGUCAUGGCCUGGAUUAAACAUACUUUAGGCUAAAUUUAUUCUAGCAGUUCUGGCCUCUUUGGAAUAGACACUAGAGAAAAUUGCUGGGUUUUUGGAACAGUCAUAUUUUCUGCAACUUUCACUCUCAUCCGCUUUCCUCCUGUCAUCAUCAUCUUGGUCUCAAGAAAGAGGCUGCUUGAUUUGUUUAUGGAAACCUGAUGACAGAAGUUGAAGAAACAGGAAGGUGAGGAAAUCUCUCUGCUCUUAAUCCUAGGAGCAAGACAAAUAUAAUCCAUCCUUCAAGCAACAUUUGGCUCUAAUAAUUAUCCUACAACAGGAAGGGACAUUGCCCAGACUGUAUGCAAUGUUCAUGAAGAGAGAAUCAGAAAAGUGGAGAAGCAGAUACAUAUUUCAUGAUAGAACAAUUAAUAGCUAGAGAACUCUGCCAUGAAACUAUAUGGCAAUCCAGCUUGAGCAGUACCUCUACCUACAAUGAGAAACUUUCCCUAGACAUAUUUCUCACUUUUCUAUUAUCUUCUACAACAACUCGAAGAAAAUAUUUUUCCUUUCUGCAGUUCCUGCGAUUCAAGUUGACAGUCAUGCCUCAUCUAAACUCUGAUACAUGUCUUCUCUUGAUUUUGUUAUGCUAG
rnacentral:lncRNA from 1 species